rnacentral:lncRNA from 1 species
CAGCUGCGCCGGAAGACCCAUCCCUCAGCUGGACCUCUCUGGCUUGUACUGUGCAGGGAAGACGAUGAUCGCCCGCCUGCUGGGGAAGCUGCUCCAUAUGGUGGGAUUUCUGCCCACCGACAGGGUUACUGAAGUCCAGCGGACAGAUCUGGUGGGAGAGUUCGUGGGCCACACCGGACCCAAGACCAGGAGAAAGGUGACAAGAACAAUAAACCACAUCAGACCUUGCUCAAUCUUCACCGAUUUUAUCAUCCUCUUCUAGCCCAUAAAUUAGGAAGAACAGGGAAAAUAAAAUUAAAUUUAAAAAAAAAUAGGGAAGCAUAGGAAGGAGAGAGCAAAAGAGGAAAAUGACGAAUCUUGUCCGCUGACCUGCGAUUGCAGCUGGAGCAAGCGGAAGGGGGGAUCCUGUUCGUGGACGAAGCGUACCGGUUGAUUCCGAUGCAGAAGUCAGACGACAAGGACUACGGGCUGGAGGCCUUGGAGGAGAUCAUGUCUGUGAUGGACACGGGGAAGAUCGUGGUCAUAUUCGCCGGGUACGAGGAGCCGAUGAAGCGC